AUGCACGCUGGCGGCGUGCCUAAUACAUGCAAGUCGAGCGAACAGACGAGGAGCUUGCUCCUCUGACGUUAGCGGCGGACGGGUGAGUAACACGUGGAUAACCUACCUAUAAGACUGGGUUAACUUCGGGAAACCGGAGCUAAUACCGGAUAAUAUAUUGAACCGCAUGGUUCAAUAGUGAAAGACGGUUUUGCUGUCACUUAUAGAUGGAUCCGCGCCGCAUUAGCUAGUUGGUAAGGUAACGGCUUACCAAGGCGACGAUGCGUAGCCGACCUGAGAGGGUGAUCGGCCACACUGGAACUGAGACACGGUCCAGACUCCUACGGGAGGCAGCAGUAGGGAAUCUUCCGCAAUGGGCGAAAGCUUGACGGAGCAACGCCGCGUGAGUGAUGAAGGUCUUCGGAUCGUAAAACUCUGUUAUUAGGGAAGAACAAAUGUGUAAGUAACUAUGCACGUCUUGACGGUACCUAAUCAGAAAGCCACGGCUAACUACGUG
rnacentral:rRNA from 1 species